rnacentral:rRNA from 1 species
CGACCGGCGCACGGGUGAGUAACGCGUAUCCAACCUUCCCAUUACUGUGGGAUAACCUGCCGAAAGGCAGACUAAUACCGCAUAGUCUUCGAUGACGGCAUCAGAUUUGAAGUAAAGAUUUAUCGGUAAUGGAUGGGGAUGCGUCUGAUUAGCUUGUUGGCGGGGUAACGGCCCACCAAGGCGACGAUCAGUAGGGGUUCUGAGAGGAAGGUCCCCCACAUUGGAACUGAGACACGGUCCAAACUCCUACGGGAGGCAGCAGUG